GGAAUCUUGCGCAAUGGGCGAAAGCCUGACGCAGCCAUGCCGCGUGAAUGAUGAAGGUCUUAGGAUUGUAAAAUUCUUUCACCGGGGAAGAUAAUGACGGUACCCGGAGAAGAAGCUCCGGCUAACUUCGUUCCAGCAGCCGCGGUAAUACGAAGGGGGCUAGCGUUGCUCGGAAUUACUGGGCGUAAAGGGCGCGUAGGCGGAUAUCUAAGUCGGGGGUGAAAGCCCAGGGCUCAACCCUGGAACAGCCUUCGAUACUGGAUAUCUUGAGUUCGGGAGAGGUGAGUGGAAUGCCGAGUGUAGAGGUGAAAUUCGUAGAUAUUCGGCGGAACACCAGUGGCGAAGGCGACUCACUGGCCCGAUACUGACGCUGAGGCGCGAAAGCGUGGGGAGCAAA
rnacentral:rRNA from 1 species